rnacentral:lncRNA from 1 species
UCACAGAUUAAGACGAGGAGGGUAUUGUUCUCUCCCCGCCCUCCUCUCUUUCUCCAAGCCGAUGCCGAUGAAUCUUUCUCUUUAAUUUCCGGCGCAAAUCCUCUGUCUAAUUUUCUCUCUUUACCUUUCCCUUUCUUGCAUUCGAUCUAAGAGGCGAUGAUGAUUGGUGAAUGUUGCAUUCGAUCUAAGUGGCGAUGAUGAUUGGUGAAUGUCAAUGAUGGAUUCAAUCAUCUGCUAUUUUGGCUCUUUUGGAUCGAUCGUCCAUUGCGAUGGCGAAUCCCAUAUUCCUUGAGUCCGUAUGUUUCUGAUCCUAACCCUAAGUCCGUUGUCUCCUCUCUUCUGUCCUCUCUGUUCUCCAAUACUAGACGGAUUCGGGCAGGAAUAGGGAGACGAUGUUUCUGUCCUCUGUUCUUUGUCCUCUCUUCUUAUGAUCGACGUUAGAUGAAUCUGAGCCUCGUUUUUCUAGAUCUCUCUGUUGUUUCUAACCUUAGAGUAUUUAAAAGAUUUCGAUUCCUAUUUUCUCAUUUUCUUUUCUACUUUAAGGUUUCUGUUACUGUUGAGAAUUGUUUGGUCGGAAAAAAAACUUUAGAAACCUGCCAA